rnacentral:rRNA from 1 species
CAAUAGCGUAUAUUAAAGUUGUUGCGGUAAAAAAGCUCGUAGUUGGAUUUCUGUUGAGGGCGACCGGUCCAUACCACGUAUGCGCAUCUGGUUCGGCCUUGGCAUCCUCUCGAUAGACGUUUCUGCGCUUGAUUGCGUGGGGCGGAUCUCGGGACUUUUACUUUGAGGAAAUUAGAGUGUUCACGGCAGGCUAUCGCCAGAAUACAUUAGCAUGGAAUAAUACUAUAGGGCCUCGGUUCUAUUUUGUUGGUUUCUAGGACUGAGGUAAUGAUUAAUAGGGACAAUUGGGGGCAUUCGUAUCAAUGCGUCAGAGGUGGAAUUCUUGGAUUGCAUUGCGACGAACUACUGCGAAAGCAUUUGCCAAGGAUGUUUUCAUUGAUCAAGAACGAAAGUAAGGGAUCGAAGAUGAUUAGAUACCGU